ACAGCCAUAUCACAUUAAAACACUGGUUCUCAUCCAAUCACUGAAGUUUAGCAAUGAUGAACUUGGUCAGUAUCUAGAUGGGUGACUUCUUGGGAAUACCAGGUGCUGUAGG